UAUUCCACUGCUUAAUUUCAAAAUAACAUUUCUAAACAGUGGCGUAGCUAUCAUAGGGCCAGGUGGUGCAGUGCACCAGGGCCCCGGAGCUCAGGGGGCCCUCUAACCUCAGCUUUGAAAAAAAAAAAAAAAUUCCCUUUU